GUCUCGCGGGAAAGUGCGUCGUUGCCUCGGUAACGGCGUCGCGGCCGCGAAAGAUGGCUGGGAGAAGUUUUAAGAGACCGGGCGUUUCAGGGACUCCGCUCCCGCCACGCAUUCAGCAACCUGCCACGCCUCGGCGGGACCUCCUCGCCAAGGAGGAAGAAUAUAAACGUUUAAAUGCAGAAUUAGAGGCAAAAACAGCUGAUCUGGUUCGACAAGCUGAGGAAGUAAUAAGAGAUCAGCAAGAAGUACGAUCUAAGUCUGUUUCAGCACAAAUUAAAUCAUAUGAAGACAAAGAUGAUUAUAGCUUUAGACGUCCAUUGUCUGAAGGGACAGUUCAUUUACAUUCAGAAACUAAGCCGAAGACCAAAAAUGUUGAUCCCAUAAACAAAGUUCAAAACAAACUACACUCUGCAAGUAAAGGAAGGAAAUCAAAUUCAAGUGUAAAAUUGAAAUACUGUCAUGUGCAGACUGCCAAUGAUGUUGCCAUUCCAGAGGAUUUCUCAGACUUUUCUCUUGCAAAAACAAUUAGCAAGAUUGAAGGGCAACUAGAGGAAGAAGGCUUACCUGAUUAUAUAAAUGAUGAUAUUUUUUCUGGUGUUAGUGAAGAUAUUGGAACAGAAGCACAGAUUAGAUUUCUGAAGGCCAAACUCCGUGUUAUGCAGGAAGAAUUGGAUAAUGUUGUCUGUGAAUGCAAUAAAAAGGAGGAUGAAAUUCAGGAUUUAAAGUCUCAACUGAAAAAUUUUGAAGAAGAUUGUGUGAGACAGCAGCGGACAAUUAAUUUGCAACAAUCGCAAACAGAAAAGUUUAAAACUCUUUUUGAAGAAGCAAACAAAAAAUGUGAUGGAUUACAGCAACAGUUGUCUUCAGUAGAAAGGGAAUUAGAGAAUAAAAGAAGACUGCAAAAACAGGCUGUUGCUAGUCAAAGUGCCAUGGAAGUUCGCUUAAAUAGAGCUCUAGAAGAAGCAGAGAAGUAUAAACUAGAGUUAAGUAAACUAAGGCAAAAUAACAAGGAUAUAGCAAAUGAAGAACACAGAAAAAUCGAAGCAUUAAAAUCAGAAAACAAGAAGCUAGAAAAACAAAAAGGAGAAUUAAUGAUAGGAUUUAAGAAACAGUUAAAAUUAAUUGAUGUUUUAAAAAGGCAGAAGGUGAGUCUAUCCUAAACAAAGUUAAAUUGUGGAUAUUAUUUGGCUCUUUCUAAUAAGACAUUUAGUAUUUCUCCUUCAGGUAUAUUUUUUAUUGCCAUGCUUAGUCACAAAAUGUUAUCUACAUAUUGAUGCAAGUAAAUUAGAAAUGUUUACCAGUUCUGUUUCCAUACAGUAUGGAUACUCCCUAACUAAAGAAAAUACCAAAUAUAAAAAAUAACUAUUAUCUUAAAAAGGGAUCAGUUUGCCUCUUGAAAUCUUGAGAGUGAAACUGAUUCCAAACCAGUUUUAUUCUGUUCACCACACAAGUUUACCUAGUGGUUAAGAGGAUGUGAAUUCAUGUUUUUGCUACUGUCACCUUUUGCAAAGAUUAGGUAUUACAAUAUUGAAUUGUUCUCUAAACAGGUUGGUGCAAUACCACCAGUGGACAAGGUUUUUAGCGGCUAAUCACUGAAUAUGCAUAUUGAAGCUGCGAAGAUGCUGUCUUUCACUGAAGAGGAAUUUAUGAAGGCACUUGAAUGGGGAAAUUAAUAAGUGAUCUACUUUUAAACCUCUAAUGUGUGGUGGAUAUACUCUUAAAGUAAAAAUAGUUCACACUGUUACAACUUACAUUAAAUAAUGAAGACAUUUGAUAAGUCAAAAUAAUUCCCUGUUUAGAUUUGGGGAUAUAAAAUUGAUACCUAUUAGAAAUGUUUUAUAAAAUAAAGCAAUAGAAAUUUAA